AAAAAUUAUGUUAAUAUAAAACAGAUAAAAAUAGACAAAAACCAAAACACACAACACACAAAAGCACAACACACAGGACCAGUGCAAACCCUUCCCAACCCAGUCCACCCAAGUUUUAAAAUCUUUAUUACAGAUCCCCAAAGAUUAGAUUGUAUUGGAGAAGUCACAGUAUUGAAUCAGAAAAAUAAGAAUAAGAGACAUUUUUUAAAAGGUCUGUACACAGGUAGUGGGGAGAUGGGGUAAGAGACGUACAGUUCAUCACUCCUACAUCAAAAAACAUAAUACAGAAGGGCUUCUGUGAUUAGCACAUCUUUCUAGAAUACUACUAGGUAUGCUAGUCCCCUGCCCACUUUUUAAAGUUGCUUUUAAAAAGGAUAAAAAGUGCACAGACACUUUCAUAAGGCACAGACAGAUUGUUGUACAAGUUGUUUCAUUAGGGGCUUAGGAAAGACAAUGAAAUACCAAGAAAUGCCAGGAGGCCACGUGUUCCUGAGCAGACAUCCCUCUGCCGGAACUGGGGCAGAGAUGGGAUUGGGCAGGGGGAGGUUACUGCCUCUCAUUCUCCAAGACUUUGCUCAAGCCCUCUCUCGACUGGAACUAAUGGGGUUCUCUGGGGCCAGGGGAUUGUUUCCAGCAGCCACUCCCAAGCCUGAAAGUAGCAGGUAGCCAUCACCCCAGGGGUCUCCCUGGGGGGAAUUGAGGGUAAUCAUCAAAAGGUGGAGCCUUUGAGGGUUCUGCCCAAGGCCAUUUUGGCAGCAGUGCACUGGCUACAAAGUGCCUGGCAUUUCUAAUGCUGAAGAGGCUUCUCAAAGCAAGAAGCUUUCGGGAAGGCUCUGGGGCACUCACCAGGAUAGAUCCCCAAAGGCAACAGAAUGGCCGAGAAAGACCACAGGAUUCUGUCCCUAGCAUCUCCUUGUCCUCUAAUGUCUCUACUUCUGAAGGCAGAGCUAGGGCGCUGUCCUCUCAGCUCCACAUCCCCAGCACCCCACACCUAGCAGGCACACAGCAGAUGUUUGUUGAAUGACCGUGUGCAUGUGUAUGUGGUGUUUUACCAAACCCCUGAGCCCUUGUAAUUUAAUUUCUGGAUUUCUUCCAUAAACCUUUAAAGAGUACCUACUAUGUGCUAGCACAGGCCCCAGUGCCUGAUGGGGCACAUGAAAGGUUAUAAAUCUGCCCAGCUCCAGACUGUCAGCUCCCUGUGGGCUCUGUCUUUAGUCCGUUUCCAGAACACAGGCCAUGCGAUGAGUGGGUGCUGAGCAAAGUGUUGCAGCACUUAGGGGAGCAGUUGCCCUGGGUAAACCCCAGGAGACUCCCAGUUCUGGGAUUGGACUAGGGAAAGAAGCUUGUUUUGACUAGGAAACAGCCCAAUUUCUCGGGGGGUUCAAAAUAAACAGGCACAAGACCACAACAAAGGUGUACCUUUCGGUCUCCCCCUUCUCAGCCCUGGAAUCCCUUCCUGAGGCCCAGGAAGGUGGUGGGACAACGCCUUGGCUCCUCCACAAAGUGGCCCCGUGUGUGCUUCUCUGUGUCACAAAAGGAAGCCUUUGGGUUGGACUCAGGAUCUCACAUGGCUCAACUCUGCCAGAAGGCAGGCAGCGGGAAGCAGGCUGCCCUGGUGGUGCCCACUGCUGCUGGUGAAUGCCAGGCCCCGGGUAACAAAACGAAAUGUGGAGAGCCGUCUGCGGGAUGGGGUGGCCUUUCCAACUGCAGAAACAGUACCAGGAUUUUGUUUGGGGGCACUGACUUCACCCUCACUCACAUGAUCCAGGCCAGGCCAAGAAGAACUUCCACCCCUUGGUCUCACUGAUGGGGUGAGACCUUAUAUAAGGCUACAUAACCCAGUGGAGGUCGAAGAGGUCUUCAUGAGAACAACUACAACUGCUGGGAAAGAAGGGGCCCAUCCAUUCAGAGGUGAGAGAGAUGUUCCUUCCCUUACCCUACUUGAGGAUGGAUGGACAAAUAAUGGAGUGCUGGGGUUGCUGUCAGGUAGAAAUCAGGACAGCAGGUUCCUGACCUCCAAAAGAAGUUGCUUCCAUUCUACCUUCUCUUCCUGACCACUCAAGGACUCAUCCUGGUUCCUCUGGAGGUGCUGGGGAGGAACGUAAUGGAGACGGAUUCUAGGCUUAGUUCUUGCCAAAGCCCCAGUGGAAACUUAGGCAACUCAUCUCAGGGUAAAUGAUGACUAUAUCUGGUCAUCCCUUAAACAACAACAACAAAUGAUGACCUUCCUUGUUCUUCUGCCUACAAACAACAGUCAUUGAUGUUACUGUGUAUUAAACAUGCUGUACAUGGCAGGCACCUGCUGCAAGCAUUAUAUGAACCUCAUCAUUUCACCCUCCUGACGAUGCCACGACGCAGGUGAUUACUCCCUCUCUACACAGAAGGAAUCCAAGGCUCAGAGAGGGUCUGUGAUUUGCCCUAGAUCUUCAUGGCUGACCAGCUAUGUGACUGGGACAGUGAGUUAAUCUCUCUGUGCUUCAGUUUUCUUUCCUGUGGAUGGGAUAGUGAUACUGGUCUCACAGAGGCAGAGUAUAAAAUUGAAUGAGAAAACAUGAAGUGUUCAUCAUUUCUAUUACCAUUUGGACUGACUUCUUGAAUCAUGAAAAUGGAACGGGGCUCUCUAGGAGCCUUCUCUGACCACCACCUCCUUUCUACUAAAUGGGAGAGAAGGCCCUCUGCAGUGGCCCACAGCAUUCCAUUCAGGGGUGUCUGUAGGGUCCCCCUGUGCUUAGCCUGUGUCCUGUCCUCUGCCAUGCCCCACCCUGGAGCCUAGCGCCUGGUCCACAGCUGGGGGGGGGGGGGUGCUCCAUGUCUAUUGGUGGCAUGAAUGAAGGCAAAAUCGUGUCAAAAUAAGAUGGUUCGAGCCUCCAUCCCAUUUUCUGUAGACACUGUUAUUUUGAUGUCCUCUCAAGUGUAGUUGUAUUUGCUUUUUCUUCUACAACUUAGUAUGCCUCAUGUAUGUAAAAAAUAAAUACGUGAUAUAAGAAGUCAUAACAACAGAAAUAAAAAUUGCACUGAUCAUCUACCGAUUGCAUGAAACCGUCCAGGCCCUGACGCCAGUGGGAACUUAGGUCGGUGUGGGCAAAGGGUGGGCUUGGGAGCAGCAACAUGACAUCCCUGGGACACUGGUUUGAACUGCAUUUCGGGGCCGCCCUGACUGAAUCAGAAACUCUAGGUGGAGGCAGGAGGGUGCUAACAUGCGCUCAAGCCUGGAAAGCGGGCCUGGACUUCCGCGGAGGCUCGAGAUACCCAGCGGAUGGCCCCGCGCAUGCGCGGUCGGUCGGGGAACUCACCGAGGA